AUGCAGUGUACUCUUACUCCCUCUGCUGCUAUCGCUGCGGCAGUGCAAGGUAGGAUGGGAAAGCACCGUUAAGACAAACACGGCAAGAGGGAAACGAGUGGGAGACAAGACAAGCAACGGAACUGGCUGGACAGAGCUGUUCUUGGGAGUCUGGAGCCUCGCCCAUCAUCAGGCUCGCCCAUCAUCAGAUUAUCGCUAUAGUCUCGAUUGACAAAAACUUCACAGUUCAUUGAAUCUUUGGUGGUGGUUUGCGAAGUACUCUACGAUGAUUCUCUCUACGAGAAUGCCAAGAACAUCACAAGCAAGCGUAGCUAAGAAAUGAUUUGUUGCUCACGACGCUGCAUAAUAGAUAUCAUUGAAAGCCA